AUGAUGCUCUUUCUAAUUCAAAAGAUUCAAGCGUGAGUGGAAAGCACACUAAUGGGCAAGAUGACGCUGAUACUCCUCUAGAGGGAGUGCCCACUAAUAUUGGCAUUCAUUCAAAUGCUGCACAACAACUGGAGGAUCAAUGAUAUUCACUAUCUGGAGAAUUCGUUUGCUGCAUUUCUUAUGAAAUCUCUUCGGGUACUAAAGUAUGGUGCAUCUGGUUUGGACAAGAUAGAAAGGCGAAGUACAUGGUUUUGGACUCAAAAAUAGAUCAGCCUGCAAUGCAAUGGCAAUAUUUUCAUUGAUAUUUUGCACCUUUGUGAAUUACAUUUUUAGCAUGUUGGUAUAUCCUUAGCUCGUUGCCCUUGUUAUUUUUAGGAAACAAUUCUUGUGCACAUACCGUUGGCCUUAAUGAACUUAUUGUGGUCCCUUUGAUAA